rnacentral:rRNA from 1 species
CCCUAGUAUGCUAAAAUAUUUGAAAUUAGUAUUAGUGAAAUUUAAUAAUUUUGGCGGUUAAUUGAUAUUUGGAGGAGCUUGUAUUUUGAUAGAAUUAGCUCUUUAUAUUUAAUAAAUAUUUUAAUUUAUUCAUCUCCGUUAUAAAUUUUUAAAGUAUGGGGUUCUAGAAAUAAAUUUUUUAAUAUUUCAGGUCAAGAUGUAGUUUAUAUUAUAAAAUAUUAGCUACAUUUAUGAAAUUAUUGGAUUUUAUUAAAUUUGUAAUAUUUGUAAGAAAUUGAAUUUAGUUGUAAUAUUAAUUAUAAUUUUAAUAUGAAUGGGUUCGGUUAAUGUA